AGCCGCGGUAAUUCCAGCUCCAAUAGCGUAUAUUAAAGUUGUUGCAGUUAAAAAGCUCGUAGUUGAAUUUCGGGAUCAAUGUUUCGGUCAUGCCGUUGGUAUGUACUGAUAUUAUUGAUUUCUCACCUUCUAAAGAACCGUAAUGCCAUUAAUUUGGUGUCACGGGGAAUUAGGACUGUUACCUUGAAAAAAUUAGAGUGUUUAAAGCAGGCUCACGCUUGAAUACAUUAGCAUGGAAUAAUGAAAUAGGACAUCCGAUUCUAUUUUGUUGGUUUCUAGGAUCGAUGUAAUGAUUAAUAGGGAUAGUUGGGGGCAUUAGUAUUCAAUUGUCAGAGGUGAAAUUCUUGGAUUUAUUGAAGACUAACUACUGCGAAAGCAUUUGCCAAGGAUGUUUUCAUUAAUCAAGAACGAAAGUUAGGGGAUCGAAGACGAUCAGAUACCGUCGUAGUCUUAACCAUAAACUAUGCCGACUAGGGAUCGGAUGAUGUUAAUUUUUUAAUGACUCAUUCGGCGCCUUACG
rnacentral:misc_RNA from 1 species